GUGAAGUUGAAAUCAUCCCUUCGUAAAUUUUACGGACGCCAUCACGAGUUGGUUGACCGUUAUGGAAUAACCGUUUCACAAAUGAUAUCGGAUAUGUUCCUUACGUCGUAACUAUAAUCCCCUUCCCUUUCAUGAAUAUGACCUACCGAAUUAGACUAUUUACCGGAUUUGUAAUCACAUAAGCAACACGACGGGUGCCACAUGUGGAGCAGGAUCUGCUUACCCUUCCGGAGCACCUGAGAUCACCCCUAGUUUUUGGUGGGGUUCGUGUUGUUUAUUCUUUAGUUUUCUAUGUUGUGUCGUGUGUACUAUUGUUUUUCUGUUUGUCUUUUUCAUUUUUAGCCAUGGAGUUGUCAGUUUGUUUUAGAUUUAUGAGUUUGACUGUCCCUUUGGUAUCUUUCGUCCCUGUUUUUGUU
rnacentral:lncRNA from 1 species